rnacentral:rRNA from 1 species
GACAGAGGCCUCAAGCGUUAGGCGGAAUCACUGGGCUUAAAGCGUGUGUAGGCGGAUCGUUAAGUGCCUUGUGAAAUCCCACGGCUUAACUGUGGAACGGCUGGGCAUACUGGCGGUCUUGAGCCAUCUAGGGGCGACUGGAACAAACGGUGGAGCGGUGAAAUGCGUAGAUAUCGUUUGGAACGCCAAUGGUGAAAACAGGUCGCUGGGGAUGAGCUGACGCUGAGAGACGAAAGCUAGGGGAGCGAAUGGG